rnacentral:rRNA from 1 species
AUAGAUUAAUUUCAGGGGAUCUGAUGUAAGGCUAACGUAGCGGAGCUUGCCAGGAUUUCUAUCAGACGAAGAUAGGAUCAAGCAAUCAGAUACGUUGUGAUUCAUCUAGAAGUUGCCGCUAGGAUGAGUGGAAUAUUCCCCAUUCAGUCCUUAAGAGAAUCAAAGUCUUUGGAUCUGGGGGAGGAAUGGUGCCAGGCUGAACUGAAAGAAAUUGACUGAAGGCACCACCAGGAGUGGAGCUGCGGCUUAAUUGACUCAACCCGGGAACCUACCAGUCCAAGACAAGGGAAGGGAUGACAGAUGAUAGCUCUUUCUUGUUCUCCCUGUGCGCGUGCCGUCUGGUUGGUGGAGUGAUUUGUCUGGUAAUUCCGAUAACGAACGAGACCUUAACCUGCUAAUUAGUCGUUCUCAUAUUAUGGGAUAUGACUUCUUAGAGGGACUAUGCAUAUCAAGUGCAAGAGAAGUAUGAAGGCAAUAACAGGUCUGUGAUGCCCUUAUAUGUCCUGGGCUGCACGCGUGCUACACUGAUGCAUACAACAAGUGCCUAGCUAGACAUAGUAUGGCAAUCUGGAAUAUGCAUUGUGAUGGGGAUAGAUCUUUGCAAUUAUAGAUCUUGAACGAGGAAUUCCUAGUAAGUGCAAGUCAUCAUCUUGCAUUGAUUAUGUCCCUGCCCUUUGGGCACAGAGAGGACGUCGCUCCUACCGAUACCGGGUGAUCCGGUGAACCUUUGGACCUCGCAAGAGGAAAAAUAAGUAAUCCAUAUCCUAAUAAGGAGAAGUCGAACAAGGAUCCGAGGGCUCCGCCAGCAUC